rnacentral:lncRNA from 1 species
AGAUCGUGCGGACAAAUGAACAAAUGCUUGAAGAAAGUAGAGAUACAAUAACCGUCCCGGCAUCCUUCAUGCUACGAAUGCUUGCUUCUUUGAACCACGCACGUCUUGGUCGAAANCAAGAUGACUCGGAGACAGACUCCAAUGACUCUGACUAACGAAUCUUAUUUGUUAUUAUGGUUCGCCCAAAUAUCGAAGCUGGAAAUUUAAGAAUUUCAAGUGUAUGAAGAAUUUCUGGCAAAAUAUUCAUCAUUUUUGAAAGACUGAAAUGAGUUUCAACGAGGAGCAAAAGGUGAAUAUAGCUAAUUCAAUGAACGUUGCCGUUAAGAAAGUUGAAACUUAACUUUCUGACCGUGAGGUAUCAUGGGAUAUGUAUUGUUAGGCAAUAUACAUCCCAUGAUACUUCGCGGUCAGGUGAUUGAGCUUUAGACAUUCUAAACGACAAUGCUAGUUGAAUUUGCUGUAUAAAUAUGGGACGUGGAAAAAGUUGACUUUUUCAAUAUGUUCAACGAAGUACCACACUAAGGAACUACAACUGAAGAACUUCCAUGUUUUUUUUGAAAGCUUCAUUGUCAAUAACACUUCUCAUUUGGAGGGACUAUAUACUAAUUUGUAUGUUGAUUGACAACUAUGUAUCGUGCACCGCUGGCUAAAUUUUCGAAGGCUCGGGGCACGCUAUCUGUGGUUGUAAAGUCGCAGUUUGCUAUAAACAGUUAAAAAGUUGUUGUCUUUUCGGCUUUUAGUUGUGAGGUACAGCUGUAUAUGAUGUCAGAAGUGCUAGAGGAUGAUUAAAUAUCGACAACUUUUUUAUAUA